GACUUUGUCACGCCCGACAAAUUGAAAUUUGAAAUUUUCUCAUUGCUCAAUUUCUUCAUCAGAUAUGCUCUGUUAAAUAUUUUUGUCUGCAAACUUUAGGGUCAUGUGAGAAGGCUGUGUGUAACUGAGUGAGGUAAUAAUUAGAGAUGCGCAUUCUUUUUGGAUCAAUGCCAGGAAAUCUUCAAGCAUUACACCCUCCAAUAGACUGAAUAAUUUUGGUCUCCAUAUAAUUCCCAUCAACACAGAUACAAUUGAUGAUUUAUUAAAAUGAAAGGGAUUAUGAAGAGGUUUGAGAGUAGAAUACUGGUGUUAAGAAGGUCUCGAGUCCUGUGCAAAAGGAGUAACGAUUAUACACUGAACCUCAAGGAGACUCAAUUGACAUGGGCAGCUCUCUAUCAGAUCGCUAUAUAUCAGUCUCAAUGGAUCUACAACUGUCUCAAGGGACCCGAGGGGUUAAUGAUUCACCGACACAGCGAUGAGCAUGCCCUACUUGAGUUUCAUCUUGCUCCAGAGAUAAAUGUCUUUGUUUUGUUGAGGACUUUGAUUGAUGAAACCGUGGAUUCCCGAAUCGAGCGGAACCUGAUGGGGAACUCUGCAGGGUUUAAAAAGCGAACAACAGCUGAAGGGACAGUAGGAGAAUGGGCCCUACAGUUCUACUACAAAUGGUUAUUGUACUUUCAAAAUGAAUUGUUCGUAUCAGUUUCGAUGAAUUUUCAGUUUUGCUAUCAAUAUAAAAGAAAAGCAGCGAAAACUAUCGACAUUCUGUCCUGACAAUCCAUCAUUGAGGCGCUUUGGAUUCAAGCGCUUGCAGGAUACGCUAAAGUAUUAUCCAAAACUCUGGAAUGUGAAAUGUCCUUGUGGAGCAGUCAGGCGUGAGGAAAAUGUUUCUAAUUGUCAUGUAUAUCUGGAGCUAGAUUACAGAGAGAGAGCAACCGAUCCUGAUCGUACUUGCAAGCUCUACGAUCUGCCUACAUCUUUGAACUUGAGCAGAGAAUACAGAUUAGCUGGAGUCGUCUCAUACGAUGCGACCUAUGAUCAUUUCGUGGCCUACUGUUGCCGUCGUACUGGAACGUGGGAGUACCAUGAUGGACUACUCAGUAAAGUAAAACCUGUGAAAGGAAAUCCGGUGAUACAACCUGAAUGUGCCUUGUAUCUGAUUAAUCAGUGAGCAGGAACGUUCACUACGCUCAACAUUUCAGUUUUCUGUGUCGCCAAAGCUAGUUCUUUAUCUUAAGUAUAUUAGUUAUAAUAUGAUUCUUAUCGAAUGUUAUUUGCUGAAAUAAAGAUUUUAU